GCGAACGCUGGCGGCAGGCUUAACACAUGCAAGUCGAGCGGGCACUUUCGGGUGUCAGCGGCGGACGGGUGAGUAACGCGUGGGAACGUGCCCUCUGGUUCGGAAUAACUCAGGGAAACUUGAGCUAAUACCGGAUACGCCCUUUUGGGGAAAGGCUUGCUGCCGGAGGAUCGGCCCGCGUCUGAUUAGCUAGUUGGUGAGGUAACGGCUCACCAAGGCGACGAUCAGUAGCUGGUCUGAGAGGAUGAUCAGCCACACUGGGACUGAGACACGGCCCAGACUCCUACGGGAGGCAGCAGUGGGGAAUAUUGGACAAUGGGCGCAAGCCUGAUCCAGCCAUGCCGCGUGAGUGAUCAAGGCCUUAGGGUUGUAAAGCUCUUUUAUCCGGGACGAUAAUGACGGUACCGGAGGAAUAAGCCCCGGCUAACUUCGU
rnacentral:rRNA from 1 species